CACGUAGGGGGCUAGCGUUAUCCGGAAUUACUGGGCGUAAAGGGUGCGUAGGCGGUCUUUCAAGCCAGAAGUGAAAGGCUACGGCUCAACCGUAGUAAGCUUUUGGAACUGUAAGACUUGAGUGCAGGAGAGGAGAGUGGAAUUCCUAGUGUAGCGGUGAAAUGCGUAGGUACUAGGAGGAACACCAGUAGCGAAGGCGGCUCUCUGGACUGUAACUGACGCUGAGGCACGAAAGCGUGGGGAGCAAACAGGAUUAGAUACCCGGGGUAGUCCCUGA
rnacentral:rRNA from 1 species